rnacentral:rRNA from 1 species
GAGGUCACUGCUAUCGGUGUUCGAUUAAGCCAUGCGAGUCGUGAGGGGUAAAGCCCUCGGCGGAGUGCUCAGUAACACGUGGACAACCUACCCAAGAGUCAGGGAUAACCCCGGGAAACUGGGGAUAAUACCUGAUAGGCCAUGACAUCUGGAAUCGAGUUGUGGUUUAAACGUAAGGCUCUUGGAUGGGUCUGCGGCGGAUUAGGUUGUUGCCGGUGUAACGUACCAGCAAGCCUGUAAUCCGUACGGGUUGUGGGAGCAAGAGCCCGGAGAUGGAUUCUGAGACACGAAUCCAGGCCCUACGGGGCGCAGCAGGCGCGAAAACUCUACAAUGCAGGCAACUGCGAUAGGGGAACAUCGAGUGGCAUCCACCAUGGAUGUCUGUCCAAUCGUCUAAAAAACGAUUGUCAGCAAGGGCCGGGCAAGACCGGUGCCAGCCGCCGCGGUAAUACCGGCGGCUCGAGUGGUGGCCGAUAUUAUUGAGUCUAAAGGGUCCGUAGCCGGCUUUGCAAGUCCUAUGGGAAAUCCAGCGGCUUAACCGUUGGGCUUUCAUGGGAUACUACAUUGCUUGGGACUGGGAGAGGUAGGAGGUACUCAGGGGGUAGGGGUGAAAUCCUGUAAUCCUUUGGGGACCACCGGUGGCGAAGGCGUCCUACCAGAACAAGUCCGACGGUGAGGGACGAAAGCUAGGGGCACGAACCGGAUUAGAUACCCGGGUAGUCCUAGCCGUAAACGAUGCUCGCUAGGUGUCACGGCAGUCGUGAAUUGUCGUGGUGCCGUAGGGAAGCCGCGAAGCGAGCCACUUGGGAAGUACGACCGCAAGGUUGAAACUUAA